rnacentral:lncRNA from 1 species
CCCAAAACUAUUACAAUGGCCCAUAGCCCAAACCUAAUACAACCCAAAACCUAGACCCAAAUACCCUACAACCCAAAAAUAAAAAAAUCAAGGCAGAAACCCUAGCUAGGACUUUGCGCCGUAGCCAAGAACCAGACAACGCCUCCAUACGCUCCAGCACUCCAGCAGCCAGCCCCGCACCUCUGUACGCCAGCACAGCCCCCGUACUCACGCCACGCACACCUGUACCUGCAAAAAGGACGAACGCACAACAAAACAAAAAAACAAAAAACAAAGAAUAUUGUAUUUUUAUUUAUUUUUACCAUUUUAAUCCCUUCGGCUAUAAACCCAAGGGAUUUCAUCGUUCGUAAGUUUGGACAGAGGCAUGUUACGCACACAAACGCAUACAAAGCAAUCGAAUAGAAAAAGAAAGAAAGAUUUCAAGGUGGUUCAUUAUUUUUUUCUCUCUGAUUUUUUCAAGGUGGUUCAUCUUUUUUUCUCUCUGAUUUUCCUCUUUCAUUUCUUUUUUUUUUGAUCCGUUAUACGAAUAUAACAAAUACAAAAGAAAGGCUUUCUCACCUGUUGACCGGCGUCGACCUAGUCGGUGGCUACUUCUCCAGUUCAGAGGCGUACGGAUCCCUGGGGAUCCGUUUGAAGCCGUGACGGAGACGGGGUGCACUUGACUCCACUGUUGCUUGUAAGUUGGUCGAGAGAAGGGAGAGGGUCAAAGGAAUUUUGGAAGAAGGGUUUUUUUAAGAUGCUUUAAAUCUGUCAAAUGAA